AUUGAACGCUGGCGGCAGGCCUAACACAUGCAAGUCGAGCGAGAGGCGGACGGGUGAGUAAUGUGUGGGGAUCUGCCCGAUAGAGGGGGAUAACUACUGGGAACGGUAGCUAAUACAGCAUACUCUCGGAUGAACCCACAUGGGAGUAGCUAGUAGGUGGGGUAAUGGCUCACCUCGGCGACGAUCCCUAGCUGGUUUGAGAGGAUGACCAGCCACACUGGGACUGAGACACGGCCCAGACUCCGACGGGAGGCAGCAGUGGGGAAUUUUGGACAAUGGGGGAAACCCUGAUCCAGCCAUCCCGCGUGUAUGAUGAAGGCCUUCGGGUUGUAAAGUACUUUUGGCAGAGAAGCGGUAUCUGCAGAAUAAGCACCGGCUAACUACGUGCCAGCAGCCGCGGUAAUAC
rnacentral:rRNA from 1 species